rnacentral:rRNA from 1 species
GGUGAACGCUAGCGACAGGCCUAACACAUGCAAGUCGAACGGGAUUCGGAGCUUGCUCCGAUGAGAGUGGCGCACGGGUGAGUAACGCGUAGAUAAUCUGCCUGAUGAUCUGGGAUAACAGUUCGAAAGGACUGCUAAUACCGGAUAAGCCCACGGAGACCUUGGUCUUUGCGGGAAAAGGGGGGGACCUUCGGGCCUUCCGUCAUCAGAUGAGUCUGCGUACCAUUAGCUAGUUGGUAGGGUAAAGGCCUACCAAGGCGACGAUGGUUAGCUGGUCUGAGAGGAUGAUCAGCCACACUGGAACUGAGACACGGUCCAGACUCCUACGGGAGGCAGCAGUGGGGAAUUUUGCGCAAUGGGGGAAACCCUGACGCAGCAACGCCGCGUGAGUGAUGAAGGCUCUUGGGUCGUAAAGCUCUGACAGAGGGAAAGAAGUGUAUGGUGGUUAAUACCCAUUGUACUUGACGGUACCCUCAAAGGAAGCACCGGCUAACUCCGUGCCAGCAGCCGCCGCCGUAA